AGAGUUUGAUCCUGGCUCAGGAUGAACGCUGGCGGCAUGCCUAAUACAUGCAAGUCGAACGAGAGGAAGGAAAGCUUGCUUUUCUGAAUCUAGUGGCGAACGGGUGAGUAACACGUAGGUAACCUGCCCAUGUGUCCGGGAUAACUUCUGGAAACGGAUGCUAAAACCGGAUAGGUAGCAGACAAGCAUUUGACUGCUAUUAAAGUGGCUUUGGCCAUGAACAUGGAUGGACCUGCGGUGCAUUAGCUGGUUGGUGAGGUAACGGCCCACCAAGGCGACGAUGCAUAGCCGGCCUGAGAGGGCGGACGGCCACAUUGGGACUGAGACACGGCCCAAACUCCUACGGGAGGCAGCAGUAGGGAAUUUUCGUCAAUGGGGGGAACCCUGAACGAGCAAUGCCGCGUGAGUGAGGAAGGUCUUCGGAUCGUAAAGCUCUGUUGUAAGAGAAAAACGGCACUCAUAGGGAAUGAUGAGUGAGUGAUGGUAUCUUACCAGAAAGUCACGGCUAACUACGUGCCAGCAGCCGCGGUAAUACGUAGGUGGCGAGCGUUAUCCGGAAUGAUUGGGCGUAAAGGGUGCGUAGGUGGCAGAUCAAGUCUGGAGUAAAAGGUAUGGGCUCAACCCGUACUGGCUCUGGAAACUGAUCAGCUAGAGAACAGAAGAGGACGGCGGAACUCCAUGUGUAGCGGUAAAAUGCGUAGAUAUAUGGAAGAACACCGGUGGCGAAGGCGGCCGUCUGGUCUGGAUUCUGACACUGAAGCACGAAAGCGUGGGGAGCAAAUAGGAUUAGAUACCCUAGUAGUCCACGCCGUA
rnacentral:rRNA from 1 species